GAUGAACGCUGGCGGUAUGCCUAACACAUGCAAGUCGUACGGGAGUUUUUAACUCCAGUGGCGGACGGGUGAGUAACACGUAAGAAUUUACCUUUAGGAGGGGGAUAACAACUGGAAACGGCAGCUAAGUCUCCAUAUGCCGAGAGGUGAAGUAGUUUACACUGCCUAAGGAAAAGCUCGCGCCUGAUUAGCUUGUUGGUGAGGUAACGGCUUACCAAGGCCACGAUCAGUAGCUGGUUUGAGAGAACGAUCAGCCACACUGGGACUGAGACACGGCCCAGACUCCUCCGGGAGGCAGCAGUGAGGAAUUUUCCGCAAUGGGCGAAAGCCUGACGGAGCAAUACCGCGUGAGGGAUGAAGGAUUUUGGUCUGUAAACCUCUUUUCUCAAGAAAGAAGUUCUGACGGUACUUGAGGAAUAAGCAUCGGCUAACUCCGUGCCAGCAGCCGCGGUAAUACGGGGGAUGCAAGCGUUAUCCGGAAUCAUUGGGCGUAAAGCGCCUGUAGGUUGUUUAAUAAGUCCGUUGUUAAAGACUAGGGCUUAACCCUAGGAAAGCGAUGGAAACUGAUAGACUUGAGUAUGGCAGGGGUAGAGGGAAUUUCUAGUGUAGCGGUGAAAUGCGUAGAUAUUAGAAAGAACACCGGUGGCGAAAGCGCCCUACUGGACCAUUACUGACACUGAGAGGCGAAAGCUAGGGGAGCGAAAGGGAUUAGAUACCCCUGUAGUCCUAGCCGUAAACGAUGGAUACUAGAUGUUGUGCAAUUUGGACAGUAUCGUAGCUAACGCGUUAAGUAUCCCGCCUGGGGAGUACGCUCGCAAGGGUGAAACUCAAAGGAAUUGACGGGGGCCCGCACAAGCGGUGGAGCAUGUGGUUUAAUUCGAAGAUACGCGCAGAACCUUACCAACACUUGACAUGUUCGUCGCGACUUUAAGAGAUUAAAGUUUUCGGUUCGGCCGGACGAAACACAGGUGCUGCAUGGCUGUCGUCAGCUCGUGUCGUGAGAUGUUGGGUUAAGUCCCGCAACGAGCGCAACCCUCACUUUUAGUUGCCAUCAUUCAGUUGGGCACUCUGAAAGAACUGCCAGUGAUAAGCUGGAGGAAGGUGGGGAUGACGUCAAGUCCUCAUGGCCCUUACGUGUUGGGCUACACACGUGCUACAAUGGCAUUUACAAUAGGAAGCAAGAUGGCGACAUCGAGCAAAUCCUAAAAAGAUGCCUCAGUUCGGAUUGUACUCUGCAACUCGAGUACAUGAAGCUGGAAUUACUAGUAAUCGCGGAUCAGCGCGCCGCGGUGAAUACGUUCCCGGGUCUU
rnacentral:rRNA from 1 species